UCCAUUCUCCUAAGAUUCCUCUCGCAUUUUUCCCUAAUAGAAUCCCAUCAUGCCCUAUGGGUCCCAUCCCAUCCCUAUAGAUCCAUCCAUCCCUAUAUGAUUCCCAUCCAUCCCCUAUAGAUCCCAUCCCAUCCCCUAUAGGAUCCCAACCAUCCCUAUGUGUCCCCCCUUUAGUGUGGGGUCCCUGUUCCCCCUAUGGGCGCACUGGACGGCAGCUCAUUACAAUGGAUCCGGAUGGGCACUACGGUUGCCACCAACGCCCUCCUGCAGCGCCGUGGGUCCCAUCCAUCCCCUAUAGAUCCCAUCCAUCCCCUAUAGAUCCCAUCCAUCCCUAUAGAUCCCAUCCAUCCCUAUGUGUCCCAUCCAUCCCUAUAGAUCCCAUCCAUCCCCUAUAUUGUUUAUUCUAUCCUAUUCUCUAUUCUUCCCCCUUAGGUGGUCCUUGUUCCCACCCUAUGGGCGCACUGGAGGCAGCUCAUUACAAUGGAUCCGGAUGGGCACUACGGUGC
rnacentral:lncRNA from 1 species